rnacentral:rRNA from 1 species
CACAAGCAGUGGAGUAUGUGGUUUAAUUCGACGCAACGCGAAGAACCUUACCAAGUCUUGACAUCCAGUGACGGACAUAGAAAUAGGUGUUUCCUUCGGGACACAGAGACAGGUGGUGCAUGGUUGUCGUCAGCUCGUGUCGUGAGAUGUUGGGUUAAGUCCCGCAACGAGCGCAACCCUUAUGGUCAGUACUACGCAAGAG